rnacentral:rRNA from 1 species
GUCGUAACAASGUUKMCGUAGGUGAACSUGCGGAAGGAUCAUAUCGAGUUUUGAACGGGUUGUAGCUGGCCUCUCACGAGGCAUGUGCACGCCUGGCUCAUCCACUCUUAACCUCUGUGCACUUUAUGUAAGAGAAAAAAAUGGUGGAAGCUUCCAGGAUCUCGCGAGAGGUCUUCGGUUGAACAAGCCGUUUUUCUUUCUUAUGUUUUACUACAAACGCUUCAGUUAUAGAAUGUCAACUGUGUAUAACACAUUUAUAUACAACUUUCAGCAACGGAUCUCUUGGCUCUCGCAUCGAUGAAGAACGCAGCGAAAUGCGAUAAGUAAUGUGAAUUGCAGAAUUCAGUGAAUCAUCGAAUCUUUGAACGCACCUUGCACUCCUUGGUAUUCCGAGGAGUAUGCCUGUUUGAGUCUCAUGGUAUUCUCAACCCCUAAAUUUUUGUAAUCAAGGUUUAGCGGGCUUGGACUUGGAGGUUGUGUCGGCCCUUGUCGGUCGACUCCUCUGAAAUGCAUUAGCGUGAAUCUUACGGAUCGCCUUCAGUGUGAUAAUUAUCUGCGCUGUGGUGUUGAAGUAUUUAUGGUGUUCAUGCUUCGAACCGUCUCCUUGCCGAGACAAUCAUUYGACMAUCUGAGCUCAAAUCAGGUAGGACUACCCGCUGAACUUAAGCAUAU